AUACGAAAGGUGCAAGCGUUGUUCGGAUUUACUGGGCGUAAAGAGAUCGUAGGUGGUUUGUUAAGUCGGAUGUGAAAUCCCGGGGCUCAACCCCGGAACUGCAUUCGAUACUGGCAGACUAGAGUUCGGGAGGGGUAAGCGGAAUUCCGUGUGUAGCAGUGAAAUGCGUAGAUAUACGGAGGAACACCUGAGGCGAAGGCGGCUUACUGGACCGAUACUGACACUGAGGAUCGAAAGCGAGGGUAGCAAACAGGAUUAGAAACCCUAGUAGUCC
rnacentral:rRNA from 1 species